rnacentral:rRNA from 1 species
AAGGAAUAUUGGUCAAUGGGCGAAAGCCUGAACCAGCCAUCCCGCGUGCAGGAUGACUGCCCUAUGGGUUGUAAACUGCUUUAGACUGAGAAGAAACCCCUCAAUGCGUUGGGGGCUGACGGUAUCAGUAAAAUAAGCACCGGCUAACUCCGUGCCAGCAGCCGCGGUAAUACGGAGGGUGCAAGCGUUAUCCGGAAUCACUGGGUUUAAAGGGUGCGUAGGCGGCUUGAUAAGUCAGAGGUGAAAGCCCGCAGCUUAACUGCGGAACGGCCUUUGAUACUGUUGAGCUUGAAACAGGACGAGGUUGGCGGAAUGUGGCAUGUAGCGGUGAAAUGCAUAGAUAUGCCAUAGAACACCGAUUGCGAAGGCAGCUGGCUAGACCUGAUUUGACGCUGAGGCACGAAAGCGUGGGGAGCGAAC